UCAUCGAUGGUUCAAUGGUAGCAUACUCGUUUCCCAAUCGAGAGACCCGGGUUCGAUUCCCGGUCGGUGCA
rnacentral:tRNA from 1 species